GAGGUUUUAGCUUAAUUAAAGUGUCUGAGUUGCAAUCAGGAGAUGUAUAAUAGGAUUUUACAGGCCUUAC
rnacentral:tRNA from 1 species